rnacentral:misc_RNA from 1 species
AGCAGCCGCGGUAAUUCCAGCUUCAAUAGCGUAUAUUAAAGUUGUUGCAGUUAAAAAGCUCGUAGUUGAAUUUCGGAAUCAAUGGAUCGGUCAUGCCACUCGGUGUGUACUGGUUUGAUUGGUUCUCACCUUCUAAGGAACCGUGAUGUCAUUAAUUUGGUGUCGCGGGGAAUUAGGACUGUUACUUUGAAAAAAUUAGAGUGUUUAAAGCAAGCUCACGCUUGAAUACAUUAGCAUGGAAUAAUGAAAUAGGACAUUGUAUUCUAUUUUGUUGGUUUCUAGGAUCGAUGUAAUGAUUAAUAGGGAUAGUUGGGGGCAUUAGUAUUCAAUUGUCAGAGGUGAAAUUCUUGGAUUUAUUGAAGACUAACUACUGCGAAAGCAUUUGCCAAGGAUGUUUUCAUUAAUCAAGAACGAAAGUUAGGGGAUCGAAGACGAUCAGAUACCGUCGUAGUCUUAACCAUAAACUAUGCCGACUAGGGAUCGGAUGAUGUUAAUUUUUUAAUGACUCAUUCGGCACCUU